ACAGAUAAUGCAGCCAGAUUCUACAAAUGGUUUACCGAGGAUAGUCUUUCAUUCUCAGUGAGACGUUAUUGUAUUCUCUUGUUUCUGAAGAUGUCUCACUCACAUGUGUGUUACAGGGGAGGGACAGAGGAGAAUGGCUUAAGAACUUGAAGUACACAGUGUGUUUGGAUUAGGAAACAAACAAUACAAGCAUUUUAAUAAGAUUUUAAUAUUUAUUUUUUUUAACUAGGUUUUAAUAAUUUGAAAUCUUUAUUUAUGUUUUUCCCUCUCAAUACUUUUUGGCCUAGCUAAUAAUGUUUCUUUUGUUGUAAAUCUGUGUUGCAGGUUGCCAAAGUUGUAGAUGACAUCCUUGUUGAAUCGUUUCUUGUCUUGUGGAUGCCCUCUGCUCUGCUCUGAUAUUGAUGUAUUUUGUUAUUGUUUUUUUAAUAUAACUUGAUGAGUGGUUUGUUCAGGUGCACAGCGGCUUGUACAUGUUGAUCUUUGAGAUGAUGACCAGUGUAUUGAAGAUGACUUCACCGCAUGGAUAGAAGCAUUGUGGCCUGAACUGGAUACAUUGGUGAGGGGGAAGGUGAUACAGCUGUUACACCAUACCAUACACUACAGCCGCGUUAGAAUACAGAGUUUCUAUUCACAACUCUGAAGAUGCGUUGAGUGAGAAACACUUGACUAACGGGAACGGUCAUGUCGUGCUUGAUGCUCAACAUCCUUACAGGGGCAAAUAUAGCUGUGAGAAGGGAGCUUCAUACUCCAGACUCUGACCGUUCAUGCACAUAUUUGGAGUUUGACAUUGCCGGAAGUGGACCGACGUAUGAAACUGGAGAUCAUGUUGGUGUUCUUUGUGAUAAUUUAAAUGAAACAGUAGAGGAAGCACUUAGGUUGCUCGACAUGUCACCUGAUAAUUAUUUCUCCCUUCACUCUGAUAGAGAAGAUGGCACACCCAAUCAGCAGCGCGCUUCACGAUUGUAUGACUGUUUUCAGUAUUUCACAUGUUUGUCAACGUCACUAAAAUCUUUUUAAGGUAUUGACCUUGAACAAUUAACUUAAAUAGGUACUUUUUUUUUUCAAUAUGUCUUGAUACAAAAUUUGAACAUGACUUAAAAUUCUAGUGAGCUAUUUCACAAAAA